AGUCUUCCCACCGCUGUGUCAAGGGCUCCGAAGGGCGCACUUUGGGGUGUCAGAGUUGAACAAGAUCCACAGUCCAGGGCCAGGAAUGUGCAGUAGGGGUGUGGCUGGUCCCCUUGUUUCCAGGUUAGCAUUGAGGAGGAGGUGGACGCUGGCGCUCCCCUUGUCUUCCUUCCAUCCAUUCAGUCCAGUCAAAGCUGCCGGAGAUGCUGGCUAGCUCAGGCUAGUCCCGAAGCUGCGUUUCAGGGGUCCCCGACCCCAGUCGAGGGCACCCCGACUUUCAAGGCCGAGGCUGGAUCCCUGACCCAGGGAGAAUGGCAGCAGCUGGCCGUGGAUCCCCAGAACGGCUCGUGCAAAGAGCGCAGAGGACCACGGGAGCACAGCCGGGCCGGGUGAGUGAGGCUCCUCUCUGAUGACCUGUGGUCCGCGUGGCUCAGGCCUGGAGAACCGAGCUGCCUGGAACCCUGACCUGAUCCCAAAGCAGGAGAAGGACUACAAGGAGGAGGCCAAGCUUGCCCAGGCCUGGGUACAAGGCGCGCCCCCGGGGACGGACCUGGACAGGGAAGAGAAACUCUCUAAAGAUGCUGUCCUGCCACCGCCACAGCCCCAGGGUUCUCCAGGAGAGCCAGGGUGCACGGCCACCUUGCACGUCUCCUUCAGGGUCAACAAGGAAGGGCUUUGGAGAAGUGGAGAGACAGGGCGCACAGCCAUCUCACAGGUCCCCUGUGGGGCCAAGGAGGAGAAAUGCCAGUUUUGAGGAGGGUUGCUACCACCCCUGCCCUUGCUCAGGAUCAACCUUGCCACUUUUGUGAAGUAGUCCUCACUGGAGAACAAGUUUGCUGUUGGGAGUGGAAGCUGGCUCAUCUCCGUCUGCUACUUUGAGUCUGAAAACGACUGCCAGGUGUCCAUUUACAAGGUGGACCAGCAGGACAGUCGAAAAUUAUGCACCACUGGCAUCGACAGGGCCAUGAUGAUCUAGGAUUUCAAGGCAACCCGGAAGCCACCAUGGGUGUUAAUAUCCUGAUAGGAGCCACAGGAACCUGGAGGCCACCAUGGGUGUUGAUAUCCUCAUAGGAGCUACAGUUCAAUAGAGAGUGAUUUGUCCCUUUUGUUGGAGCAAGGAAAAUGGCUAUUUUGCUGGGCCAGAACUUUUGCACAAAUUCUUGAUGAAUGCUAUUUUUGGUAUGUGUGUUUGUUUGUUUUUUGCUUGUUUCUUUCUAAUCACCAGAAUUCCUUUGAAAAUGCAUGUUGAGUAGGUCCAGGACUGACAUUUUUGGAUAAUUGCACUCCCUGGGACCUAAAUAGUUUAUACUAUUAGGAAAGCCCGAUUACUUUCUUUACACGUAUUUAUUACUAUUUUGAAAAUAAUGGGGUUGGUUACCACGUGGCACUAUAGAGAUUUCCUUCUGAUGUGUUUUUAUUUCCCAUACUCAAAUCUGUCAAAUUUAAAAUCAUAAUUAUUCAGCAGAAUAUCUUAAUGAAGAACCUAACCGUCUGGUAGAGUUUUGCUAUCUUAAUUAGAAGUGUAUAAUUACACAUAUUAGUGCAAUUACACACUGUGCAGAAGGCAAAAGUUAUUACUAUCACCAAAAUACAAUCAUUUUAAAGACAGGCAUUCUAAUUUUGAAUGAUUUGUCCAUGAAUAUUAUAUGUCCAAUGUAUACUACAUUUCUUUAUUAUGAAACUUACAGAGUAUCUCUAUUGUUUCAGUCACAAUUCUUUGUUUCUCUAAGUUUAGUAUAUAAAAUUUACUAUAUACUCAUAAGCAUGUGCAUUUCUCUCCACUCUUUAAAACUUUCUGACUUCUCUGUGCAUGAAGAUUUCUAAAUGUAUCUCAGUAAAGCACAUUCAUCUUUAAAAUAUGCUAUAAUUUUUGCAUAGGUUAGACUCCAAGGUUCAUUAAGACUGUGGUCUUAAUGAUUUUGCAUGCUGCCUUUUUUCACCUAGUCGUUUAACAGGGUAAAAGAAUUAGGAAUUGAUAAUCUUUGGAGAUGAAUAUAAAUUUCAUGAUUUUUUUUACAUUACUGAUUUUUAAUAUUCAUUUUUAUUAUCAUUUAUUAAAAUUUUUUCAAAUUUGUUGCAGCUGUGGCCCCCUCCCUCAUCUCCUCCCAAUCCCACCCUCCUCUUAUCUCCCCCUAUUCCCCUCCCCUAGUGCACUGAUAGGAAAGUUCCUCCUCCCCUUCUAUUUGACCCUAGUCUAUCACAAUUAUUUAUACAAGUAUUUCUUUUAUUUUUGCGCACAUAUUAUUACAGUUAUCCUCUCUAACAUCAAUCAUAUAUCUAUCAUCUCUAUCAUAUAUCUUUCAUACACACAUACACAUACAUAUGGUUGUGAAAAUGUCAAUCCAAACACGUGGUUCAAGAAUUUUUUGAAAUCACUGUUUUAAAGCCAACAGUUUGAAAGAAAUGAAAUGCAGGUGUCACUUUGUCAGUUAUGGCAUGAGCCUUGGAAUGUUGACAUUACAGUGGUUUCUCCCCCUGACUACUACAGAAUGUGUACACUUCAGUAGUUCAUCUUAAAACUACUGUAGCUGUUUUUGGUUAGUGACAGAAGAGAAAAAGCUUAAUUUGUGCCCAGUAAAAGGUUCUCCAUUCCAGGCUCCACUGUAAAGGUAUUUUGAAAUGACUAUUAUGGUUCUCAUGAUAGACUAAUGGCUUCAGGAAAUAUUAUGUCUUGAUUCAUUCAGAUUAUGUAAACCCAGCUUCUUGAAAAGCUACUCAUAUUACAAUUUAGUACCAUUCCCUAAAAGAAAGGAAAAAAAACCUGAAGUAUGCUUUGAGCUAUAAAAGAGAAAGGUGUUUGUAUAUCUUCAAAACUAUAUCUGACCAAGUUAUGAGUGAGGACUAUUCUGUAUACCGUCUAAUUAUGGAACUCAUCCUGAAUACAAGUAUUUGUUUUAAGUUUGUAUCAGCUUUCAACUUUAAAAUCUCAAAAGCUCUCUGGUUUUCAACAGACUUUCAUUGUUUCUGACAUAUUUUACGUUCUUUGAAACCUAAAUCUCAAUAUUUUGAUAUAGAUUCAGACUAGACAAGAACUGUUUUCCAAACAUGCUCUUUUACUUUCAAUUCUGUUAUCAUGAAACUGAAUUGGUACUAUUUUUAACAUAUCCCUUUACAUUAUAUGCGUUUCAUUUAUGUGUAUAUUGAAGACCAUUGGCUGCUAUCUUUCUUUUGACACUUUCAUUCAUUUCAUUAAGUGUUUUCUAACUAAAAGCUAUUGGAUCUCUGUAUACAUUCCUUGUUUUUAGCAGAGUAAUAGUCACUUAAGUACAGAUACAUUUUAAAUGUUCAAUUGUAUGAUCUAGAUAACAGGAAUAAAACACCAAAUCUUAGAUGAUCAUAGGAAAGAAUUUUAUUAUGGAUAAAAGAUGAAAAAUGUUCAGAGGAUUCUAGAAAAGUUCAGACCUUGGGGGAGAAAAAAAAUUUCAUGUGACCAAGCUGUCUAUGAGAAAAGAAACAAUAUUAAGACAGGAAAGUGGAGAUAGCUCAGACAAGUAAAGAAACUGUCUUUAUAAAGAGAUAGUUUGCUUGAAUAUUUUGGGAGUUAGCAGAGUGUAGGCUUGUUUGGGAAGUAACAGGAAUACAGGUGUGGGUUCUGAGAUGUAUAACAAGUACUUUUACUUCCCCUUCAGUUGACCUGGAGGCCAGCAUUGGUGGCUGAUAUACUGAUAUCACAGGUUGGUGGAGUGCCAUAUGUUGCUUUUGCCAGAGGCAAGGAAAAUGACUUCUCUUGCAAAUUGAGCCCAUGUUUUAAAACUAUGCACCCUUUGAAAUUUAGUAUAGAUAUCAGUCUUGUAAUUAUCCACUGAAUACCUGUUCUGUUAGGUCGAGACCUGUCCCAGGAGAAUCCAUAUUUACCCACAUGGAAACCUACAAGGAGUUCAUCAUCGAUGGAAUAUACUGGACCUUGCUAUGCCAAGGCUCCAGGAAACUCAGAAGAGACAGAACAAGAAAAACAAAAACAAAAAAAAAAACAAAAACAAAAACAAACUACAUCUCUCCUUGUUCAAUGAUGUUUUGGUUGUGACUAAUAACCUAUGAGUAUGUCCGUCAUGCCUGCCGUAGUAUUAGAGGCUACACUUUGAUUAGGCUUUACUGUACAAAAAUAAAAUAGUUUUUUGUUAUGUUUUGCUUUAUAAUUACUUCAUUAUUUCCCUAUUUUAUUUCUUAUUACACAUCCUCCCAUGUUCCCUUACUUGGUCUCUUUUAAAAUCAUAGCUUCUUUUUUAAUUAAUAAUUGUUAUACAAAUUUAUGUGUGUUAAGGUACAUAUAUGUGUGUGGAUGUAUAUAUAUUCGUAACUACAGUCAGUAUAAUAUUAAUUGUAUAUAUAUUUUUCAGGACUGACCAUUUGGUAUUGAUAGCCAAUUAGUCUGCUAUUCCUAUGAGAGGUAUUUCUCUUACUCUCAAAAUUGCGCAGCAGCACAGACUUUUUGAGGUAGAGUUGAAGUUUAGUGGACUCUCUUCUGUACACAUUUUCACUUUGUUAUCACAAAUGUUUCAGUCAUAUUUUAAAAAAUGAAUUAUUUAAAGUGUGAUUCUGCUGUUUGAAUUGAGAAAAAAAUAGCAAUAAUUGUGAAAAGGAGAGAGGUAUCAGCAAUUAUAGUUAUUUUGAAGCUAACUUAUGAGUAUUGGAAGUUUGUGGACUACCCUAAAAUUUUUCUCAAAAACUGUUUAAAAUAUGAAAGAUAAAAUCACUGGUUAUAUUGGUUGCUCAAAGGGGAUCAUAUAUGUAAGCCUCUGAACUCAUAACUUCCAAAUUAGUGUGAAGAGAUGAGAAGCAGCCACUAUCCCUGCACUCAUCAGGGGAACUGCUGGUACCAAGUAGGUCCUGCUUGGUGAUCCUGCAGAUGCUAAGGACUGCUGUGAUUGGAGCAUGGAGGUGUUUUCUACGACCACAUCACAUAUAAUCUCUAGGGGCCAUGAUCAUAGCCUUCAUAUUAUUCUGAAAGAAAUAAAUUUGGUCCUGACCUCAUCAAGUACAUAUUUUAAAGAGUAUUCUAAUAAGUAUGUAAAUAGAUUUAGGAUAGGCAUCAAUAAAACAGUCUCAGUUUGGGGCAUAAAUUUUCCAGUUAUUGAGUAAUAUUCCUGAAGAUCCAUUUCAUAAAUUGUGAAAAAAAUGAAAGGAGAGAGUACUUCUAUACAUUAUAGAGACAACCAAAUGCAUACAUUUUUCUCUCAACCCUGAAAGAAAAAUCAACCCUCAACAUUUUUCUCUCACUGUAAGCUCCCACCCUAGAAAAGGGUGACUUAGUGUUUGACCAGUGCAGGCCUAAACUAAGUGAAUGGCCCAGCUGUCUGUCCAAUCUGUCCAUCUUUGUCAUUUUUCCUCAGCUCCACUUUAGUCCACAAUUGGAAAUCCUAAUUUUAUUUUGAGAGAUAGUAAUCAACUCAUUUGAAAUAAAAAACGAUACUGAUCAUUUUCCAUCAAUGUGUUUGUGAAACAAGUGAAUUUCACUAUGACUUUUGAAGAUAAUGUUUGUUUUUCUUAAAAUCUAUUUUGUUCCUCUUUGGAAAAUCUAUUUUGUUCCUCUUGGUUGAAUUGGAAUAGUAAUUAAAACUGUUUCGAGAUUAUCAUUUAUAUUAUGAAAAGAGGAUUAUCAAGCUUAUGAGUUGGUUGUCAUUUUUCCAUUUUCAAUGUAGAUUAUUUCUAAUAAGAAAUAUUAGAAUUAGAAGUUACAGGUUUCAUUAAGCAGUACUUCCCAAUUUUGGAUCAUAUAAGUAUAUACGUAUGUGCACAUAUAUAUAUUAUGUAUAUACAUAUAUGUAUAUAUACAUUCAUACAUGCAUACAUUCAGAAUGUCUUGAGGGUGGAAAGCAAAUGUAAAUAUGAAUAUUUCAUAUAUUUGAGGUGUGUGUGUGUGUAUAUGUGUAUCCUGAAGCAUAUGUUACAUGAUGUGCUUGUAUUUUCACUAUAGCAUGUUAUGUUAGAUGGGUGGGAAAUCUUUAUUUUUUCACGUUUUGGAAUUUUGAAAUAUUUACAUGUAGGAAUUUUGAAUCAGGGUUUAUACUUGUCACCCAAUUUCUCCUGAAUCUGAGAGAGUGUCCUUGUCAGUUGUGUGGUCACAUAUUAGCUCACCAGUAUCCAAGUGAAGAAUUCCAAAUUCAGGUUUACAUAACAAAUGCCCCAGAAAAUUCUCAGUCUAUCAUAAAAAUAAUACAAAAGAAUCACAAAUGUGAGAAGGAGAACUCUCAGGAGAUAGAAGAGAGUGAGAAAAAUUAAUCAGAACACAUUACAUAUGUGUGUGAAAUUCUUAACCAACUUCAUAUAAAAAGUGUGAAGAAAGAAUGAGACUUAGGCUCCCAGGUAAUUGUUUUUCAAAAACACUUUUGAUAACAUCAGAAUGUUUGAUAAGAUGACAUUUGUAAUCAGUUGAUGAGGUUGCUGGAAAAAAGAAUCCUCUUUGUGUUACUUGCACAUCGUGGGUUCACUGAAGGAGCAACAGCAGUAAGCUGGUGUGACUUCUUAGUACAGGGUAAAGGACAAUGGAAUGUGAAUAUUAUUAUGUCAGACAGUAUUUCUAUAGCAUUUUUUAAAGGUUAUCAAAAUUAAUUAUUUAAUAAAAAAUCUCAACUAGUUUUUGAUAUGAAAUUAUGGAAAUAAACAAUUCAAAAAGGUUAGUAUUCAAUUAAAUAGGGUUGGAGAAAUAUUGAAAGAUAGCUUUCUAAAAAUGCUAUGCCUUUAAAAUCCAUCGUAUACCUAUACAACAAAAUACUCACUAAUCAGAAAAAGACCAGUCUACGGGUAUUUGUGACCAUCAAAAAGUGUGUACUCAGUGAGUUCCUUCAACACAAGCUUUGUUGAGGUCUGUGUACCAUGACAUAAGCUGUGCCUUGAUCAUAGAGAGGUAUGAGUCUUCCUCUGCUUUGGGACAGGAAGAACUGGGUCUUACUACAAGCAAUUCCAACUAUAAUGAAAAGCAAAUUAAUAAAUACUUGAUUCUCUUUCUAGGGGGAAGAAAGGUUUAAAAUAAGAGUCCAUUUCACUGAGUUACUUAGAGAUAGAUGACUUUGUGGACAUAUUCAGGACAGACAGCAGCUCUGCUUGCAAGUCCAUUCACCUGUUCGACCUGUUCGACCCCAAGAAACAUCUUGUCACUUUUUGGUAAGCUUGGACCUGUGUUCAGGAAAAGGCUGGCUUUAGAAAUUGUGGGUCAGAAUAAUGCUAACUCACAUGGAAAAUAUAAAUCUCUUCAGAAUAUUUACUAAAUAAGAAUUUAUUAGUGUCAUUGUAUGCAAGCUGCCAACUCGAGUUUUCCACUUCUCUGAAGACCGAGUAUGUCUGUACUUUUCAUUACACACAUUUCUACAUGUAAGUAGGUUCCUUAAGAUUUUGAUCUGUGAUGUUCAUCAGGACUCCUCAAAAUCCUUGGGUUGAAAAUGAAGUGCAUUGUGUUAUAUGAAGAAUGUGACGGGACCAGGCCUUACCUCAUUCUUCACAUUCCUCACUGCAAAAUGACCUGAUAUUUUCUGUGUUUUUAAAGUAUACAAAUUCAUCUCUCCUCAGUGAUAAUGUGUAGUAUAAUUGAUUUUGAAAAAACUACCUCCUAUAUCCUCAAGUUAAUUUCCUAAAAGUUGUAUUUGAUUGUACAGAUAAAAAUAGUUAACCCUUGGACUGCUCAAGAUCUUAAAUGUCUGUGCAGCAGAAUAUCACUGGUGUCUAUAUUCAACAGAUGAUGACCAGUGUCAUUAUACCAUCGGAAUCACUGAUUUGUGCACUGCAGGUAAAUUUCAAAUUCACAUUCUUAUCUUUCAAGAGAAGAUGUGAUCAUGGUAUACUGAGAAUAUCUUGAAUAUGAAGGUUGGAAUCACAGGGAUUAUGUAGUGUAAACCUCUGUUCUAUGCAAGUAUACACCAGAAUUCAUGUCUUUUCCACAUUAAAAUUUCAUCACAGGCAAUCCCCUUCAUUCCUCUGUCCAUAUGUCUAGUCUCAUCACAGAGUUGACUCAAUUAACAUAAGUGCUUACAAGUUGUAUAAACUUUUGGGUUCUGUUACUUUACUCUUUACCUGGAAAAGCAUUUCCAUAGACUUGAGGAAUAAGAUCAUCUUUGUGUUGUUCUCUCAAUAUUUUCUGUCAUUUUGUAAUAUAUCUGAAGAUUUUCUAUGUUAAUUUUUGGUGUUUCUCCCAUCUGGAAUACUAGAAGAUACUGUGUCUAGGGAUAUAUGAAAUAUUUACUGACAUUUCCCUUAAAUUUUUUUUUUUAUGACUGAGUGAAGUUUGGAAGUCAAAUUGACACUAGUGCACAUUCAAUUAAAUAUGCACCAGGCAUUUUCAAUAAUGCAUAUAUCCAAAUUUCUUUGAUGUUUCUAUCUGUGUGACCUUUUAAUUUGGUGAUAUUAGAUGUGUUAUCUGUUUACACUUGCAUAUUGAGGGCCACAAGCAUAAUCUACCCUUCUGAUAAGAGUGGUUUCAGGCAGAAUAUAAAGUGGGUAAGCAGUUAAUAGUGGAAACAUGAAAGGUGAGUCUCUUGUCAAGAAUCAUUCACAGAGAAUUUCAGUAUUGAUGUGCAGCUCCAUUUAUGGAUAUAGAACCAUGGCAAAAGAGAAGUGAAAUGUAUCUGAAUUUUCCUGGCAACAAGGAUCACAAUUUUCAGAAAUCUGAAAUAACUCACAUUUUAGCUAAUGAAUGAAAAACAGUACCUGGCAUAGGGCUAUAAAAUAAUAGAAUUAAGAAUAGUGGAAUGAGUCUUUCAGAGGCCCUGUGUGGUAGGAUUCUUCCCUGUUCCCUGUUUUCUCCCUCUUCCAAUGUCUGUCCCAUUUGCAUUUGUGAAUGAGGAUUGAGCAUCUUACCCAAGGUCAUCCUUACUUAGCUUCUUUAGGUAUACAGAUUUUAGUAUGUUUACUCUAUAAUGUCUAAUAUCCACUUAUAAGUGAGUAUAUACUAUGUGUAUCUUUCUCCUGGGAUAACUUACUCAGGAUGAUCUUUCCUAGUUUCCACUAUUUGCUUACAAAUUUCAUGAUAUCCUUGUUUUUAUUGCUGAGUAGUAUUCCAUUGUGUAAAUGUACCACAAAUUUUUGUAUCCAUUCCUCCUUUGAGGUACAUCUUGGUUCUUUGUAGAUUCUGUCUAUUAUGAAUAAAGCUGCUAUGAACAUGGUUGAGCACA